rnacentral:rRNA from 1 species
UACCGGUGGCGAAGGCGGCCCCUGGACGAAGACUGACGCUCAGGUGCGAAAGCGUGGGAGCAAACAGGAUUAGAUACCUGGUAGUCACGCGUAAACGAUGUCGACUUGGAGGUUGUGCCCUUGAGGCGUGGCUUCCGGAGCUAACGCGUUAAGUCGACCGCCUGGGGAGUACGGCCGCAAGGUUAAAACUCAAAUGAAUUGACGGGGGCCCGCACAAGCGGUGGAGCAUGUGGUUUAAUUCGAUGCAACGCGAAGAACCUUACCUGGUCUUGACAUCCACGGAAGUUUUCAGAGAUGAGAAUGUGCCUUCGGGAACCGUGAGACAGGUGCUGCAUGGCUGUCGUCAGCUCGUGUUGUGAAAUGUUGGGUUAAGUCCCGCAACGAGCGCAACCCUUAUCCUUUGUUGCCAGCGGUCCGGCCGGGAACUCAAAGGAGACUGCCAGUGAUAAACUGGAGGAAGGUGGGGAUGACGUCAAGUCAUCAUGGCCCUUACGACCAGGGCUACACACGUGCUACAAUGGCGCAUACAAAGAGAAGCGACCUCGCGAGAGCAAGCGGACCUCAUAAAGUGCGUCGUAGUCCGGAUUGGAGUCUGCAACUCGACUCCAUGAAGUCGGAAUCGCUAGUAAUCGUGGAUCAGAAUGCCACGGUGAAUACGUUCCCGGGCCUUGUACACACCGCCCGUCACACCAUGGGAGUGGGUUGCAAAAGAAGUAGGUAGCUUAACCUUCGGGAGGGCGCUUACCACUUUGUGAUUCAUGACUGGGGUGAAGUCGUAACAAGGUAACCGUAGGGGAACCUGCGGCUGGAUCACCUCCUU